rnacentral:rRNA from 1 species
AGAGUUUGAUCCUGGCUCAGGAUGAACGCUAGCUACAGGCUUAACACAUGCAAGUCGAGGGGCAGCAUUUUAGUUUGCUUGCAAACUAAAGAUGGCGACCGGCGCACGGGUGAGUAACACGUAUCCAACCUGCCGAUAACUCGGGGAUAGCCUUUCGAAAGAAAGAUUAAUAUCCGAUAGUAUAUUAAAACCGCAUGGUUUUACUAUUAAAGAAUUUCGGUUAUCGAUGGGGAUGCGUUCCAUUAGUUUGUUGGCGGGGUAACGGCCCACCAAGACUACGAUGGAUAGGGGUUCUGAGAGGAAGGUCCCCCACAUUGGAACUGAGACACGGUCCAAACUCCUACGGGAGGCAGCAGUGAGGAAUAUUGGUCAAUGGACGAGAGUCUGAACCAGCCAAGUAGCGUGAAGGAUGACUGCCCUAUGGGUUGUAAACUUCUUUUAUAAAGGAAUAAAGUCGGGUAUGUAUACCCGUUUGCAUGUACUUUAUGAAUAAGGAUCGGCUAACUCCGUGCCAGCAGCCGCGGUAAUACGGAGGAUCCGAGCGUUAUCCGGAUUUAUUGGGUUUAAAGGGAGCGUAGGUGGAUUGUUAAGUCAGUUGUGAAAGUUUGCGGCUCAACCGUAAAAUUGCAGUUGAAACUGGCAGUCUUGAGUACAGUAGAGGUGGGCGGAAUUCGUGGUGUAGCGGUGAAAUGCUUAGAUAUCACGAAGAACUCCGAUUGCGAAGGCAGCUCACUAGACUGCAACUGACACUGAUGCUCGAAAGUGUGGGUAUCAAACAGGAUUAGAUACCCUGGUAGUCCACACAGUAAACGAUGAAUACUCGCUGUUUGCGAUAUACAGUAAGCGGCCAAGCGAAAGCAUUAAGUAUUCCACCUGGGGAGUACGCCGGCAACGGUGAAACUCAAAGGAAU